rnacentral:rRNA from 1 species
CCGUAGCCCAAGAGACUGGGAUAACACCUGGAAACAGAUGCUAAUACCGGAUAACAACACUAGACGCAUGUCUAGAGUUUAAAAGAUGGUUCUGCUAUCACUCUUGGAUGGACCUGCGGUGCAUUAGCUAGUUGGUAAGGCAACGGCUUACCAAGGCAAUGAUGCAUAGCCGAGUUGAGAGACUGAUCGGCCACAUUGGGACUGAGACACGGCCCAAACUCCUACGGGAGGCAGCAGCU